rnacentral:rRNA from 1 species
GACGAACGCUGGCGGCGUGCCUAAUACAUGCAAGUAGAACGCAGUUGCGCACGGGUGAGUAACGCGUAUGUAACUGCCUCAUAGCGGGGGAUAACUAUUGGAAACGAUAGCUAAUACCGCAUACUUUGAGAUGGACCUGCGUUGUAUUAGCUAGUUGGUGGGGUAAAGGCUCACCAAGGCGACGAUACAUAGCCGACCUGAGAGGGUUGUCGGCCACCCUGGGACUGAGGCACGGCCCAGAAUUCUAAGGGAGGCAGGAGUAGGGAAUCUUCGGCAAUGGACGGAAGUCUUAACGAGCAACGGCGCGGGAGUGAAGAAGGUUUUCGGAUCGGUAAGCUCUGUUGUUAGAGAAGCGGUAACUAAACAGAAAGGGACGGCUAACUACGUGCCAGCAGCCGCGGUAAUUC